rnacentral:rRNA from 1 species
UAAUUUAGGCUAAGAGUGGAUGCCUUGGGAGAUGAGGGCGAUGAAGGACGUGGCUAGGCUGCGAUAAGCCAGGGUGAGGCGCCGAGCAGCCGUUGACCCCUGGAUUUCCGAAUGGGGUAACCCGCCUCGCCUUAAAGCGAGGCACUCUUGCCAAAAGCAAGAGGGCGAACCCGGGGAAGUGAAACAUCUCAGUACCCGGAGGAAAAGAAACCAAAAUGAUGUUAGCUCUCAGCUACUCGUUUUGUAGCAAGUGGCUGAGAGCUGACUAGGUGAUUCCCUGAGUAGCGGCGAGCGAAAAGGGAACAGCCCAGGGUUGUGUAUUUAAGCUUAUUAGCUGAAUUUCCCUGGAAUGGGAAGCCAAAGAGAGUGAGAGCCUCGUAAGCGAAAAUAAGCUUAAAAAAGCAACCCUCCUGUUCUAAAUUCUUAGAACAGAGUGAGUACCCCGAGAAAAGAAAGCCUUGGGGGAAAAUAGCAGAACUCUCUGCUAAGGCUAAAUACCUCAUCUCACCGAUAGUGAAAAUAGUACCGCGAGGGAAAGGUGAAAAGCAGGCCGGUGAGGCCGGUGAAAUAGAACCUGAAACUCUUAGCCGACAAAGAGCUGGAGCCCAAGUUUAAACUGGGUGACAGCGUGCCUAUUGAAGAAUGAGCCGGCGAGUUCAGGUUAGCUGCAGGUUAAGGUCGUUCAAGACCGAAGCCAAAGGGAAACCGAAUAGUCUGAAAGGGCUAUUUUGUAGCUAGCCUGAGACCCGAAGCCAGACGAUCUACCCAUGGCCAGGAUGAAACCACGAUAAUCUCGUGGCGGAGGUCCGAACCCGUUGGCGUCGCAAAGCCAUGGGAGGAGCUGUGGGUAGCAGUGAAAAGCUUAUCGUGUCUGGGAAUAGCUGGUUCUCGCCGAAAUAGCUUUAGGGCUAGCGGAGGUAAAUUACUUUAGCGGAGGUAGAGCUCUAAUGGACUGGUGAAGGCCGAAAGGUCAGCUAGUCCGUUAAACUUCGAAUGCCGCUAAAGGUUCCCUCUAGUCAGUCUAUGGGGGAUAAGCUCCAUACGACAAAAGGGAAACAACCCAGACUACCAGCUAAGGUCCCUAAGUCCUAGCUAAGUGGAGAAGGCAGUGGUUUUUCUAAGACAGCUAGGAGGUUGGCUUAGAAGCAGCCAUCCUUUAAAGAGUGCGUAACAGCUCACUAGCAAAGAAAAACCGCACCGAAAAAUAAACGGGGCUAAGCUAGGCACCGAAGCUGUAGAGUUAAAGCAUUUUCAAAAAUGCUUUAACUGGUAGGCGAGCAUCUUCUGCGCGUUGAAGGUUUAUCCGUGAGGAAAGCUGGAGCGCAGAGGAGAGAGAAUGCCGGCAUGAGUAACCGCAAUCCUGAUGAGAUGUCAGGACGCCGAAAGGUCAAGGUUUCCUUGGCAAUGGAAAUCAGCCAAGGGUUAGGCAGGACCUAAGGUCUAGCCGAAAGGCGAAGCCGAUGGACAGCUGGUUAAUAUUCCAGCCCUACCUUGUUCUACCGAUGGGGUGACGAAGGAAAUAAGAAGGAGGGAGUUAUUGGUUUCUCCUUCUCUUUUUUAGAUGGGGCAAAGAGGAAAAUCCCUUUGCCAAAAAACCAUCGAAAAAGAGAAAAUUCUGAUUUUUCAGAAAAUUCCUUCGAAGAGCCUUCCAGGAAAAACCUCUAAGGGCUAAAGAACAAGGUACCUGUACCGGAAAACUGACACAGGUGACCGAGGCGAGUAGCCUAAGGCGAACGAGUAAGGCCUCCUCAAGGAACUCGGCAAAAAAGCGGGCGUAACUUCGGGAUAAGCCCUCCCUGUGGUGUGCUUUGCACAACUACAGGGCGCAGCGAACGAUUCCCUGGCGACUGUUUAUCAAAAACACAGCUCCCUGCUUAACUCGUAAGAGGAAGUAUAGGGGGUGACGCCUGACCAAUGCCGGGAUGUUAAAGAUUCGGGGUCAUUCUAUUAAAUUAACUUUUAAUAGAAUGGCUCACGGAUCUAAGCACCGGUCAAUGUCGGCCCUAACCCUGAGGGUCCAAAGGUAGCGCAAUUCCUUUCCGGGUAAGUUCCGGAGCGCAUGAAAGGCGUAACGACUGGGGAACUGUCUCGAGGAGGUGCUCGGUGAAAAUGCAAUCCUCGUGAAGAUGCGAGGUACUGGCGGCGGGACGGAAAGACCCUAGGAGCUUUACUGGACUUACUCAUUGGUUUUGGUUUGUAGAUGCACAGCGUAGUGGGGAGGCGAUGAAAUUCUGCUUUAGGGCAGAAUGGAGCCGUCAAUGGAACACCCACCAUCUACAAGCUAAAACCUAAUUCUGAGAAGAACUCAGAAGACAGUGAGUGAGGGCCAGUUUCACUGGGGCGGUGGCCUCCUAAAAGGUAACGGAGGCGUUCAAAGGUCAGCUUACUCUGGAUGGAAACCAGAGCGAAAGUAUAAAGGCACAAGCUGGCUUGACUGCAAGGCUGACAAGCCGCGCAGAGGCGAAAGCCGGACUUAGCGACCCGACGGCUCUUUAGAGAAAGGCCGGAGACAACGGAUAAAAGUUACCCUAGGGAUAACAGGCUGGUUGGGCCCGAGAGUCCACAUCGACGGCCCAGCUCGGCACCUCGAUGUCGGCUCACCCUAGCGUGGGGCUGAACAAGGUCCCAAGCGUCGGGCUGUUCGCCCGUUAAAAGGGUACGUUAGCUGGGUUCAGACCGUCGUGAGACAGGUCGGUCCAUAUCUGCCGUCAGCGUUUAGAAACCUGAGAGGAGCUGGCCCUAGUACGAGAGGACCGGGCUGGAGGAGCCGCUGGCGUUCCGGUUGUCCUGCCAAGGGCAUGGCCGGGUAACUAUGCUCCUAAGGGAUAAGCGCUGAAAGCAUCUAAGUGCGAAGCCCACCUCAAGAUUAGGUUUCUUUAUUAGGCUCCCAGUAGACUACUGGGUUGAUAGGCCUCUGCUGUAAGCUCGGCAACGAGUUAAGGUAAGAGGUACUAAUAGCCGAAAU